rnacentral:rRNA from 1 species
UACGUAGGGUGCAAGCGUUGUCCGGAUUUAUUGGGCGUAAAGAGCUCGUAGGCGGUCUGUCGCGUCGGAUGUGAAAACCCAGGGCUCAACCCUGGGCCUGCAUUCGAUACGGGCAGACUAGAGUGUGGCAGGGGAGACUGGAAUUCCUGGUGUAGCGGUGAAAUGCGCAGAUAUCAGGAGGAACACCGGUGGCGAAGGCGGGCCUCUGGGCCUGUACUGACGCUGAGGAGCGAAAGCGUGGGGAGCGAACAGG